AAUCCUGCAAUUAAUUCCUUAAUGAUCAACAAUAGCAAAAAGAGAGAGAGAGAGAGAGACAUCCUUGCCGUGUGCGUGGUCAGUCAGAAUACAAUAACCUUUUCCUGACUGGCUUGUAAUGUCUUGCUAUCUUAUUUCCAUCCAUAGUUGAUCACUAUGCAACUCAGGGUAAGCGUAGAGAAUCACCAACGCCAGGAUUUAGUGGCUGUUCCCAUGCGCCAACCUUUGCAAAUCAGAAUUAUCCAGCCUUUCCCUGACCACUCAGCUCUGUACGUUCAGAGACCUGGUCUUAGGUUGCGGGGACAUUGAGAGUUCAAUUGUAUAUUCGUGCCACAUUCUCAAUAACUUGUCUUUGUGCUCCCUAUCCACAGCUACCUAUGGACCCGUAGAUACCUACGGACCUGUAGUUGACCCGUACGGAUUCAAAGAUGACUAUGGGCCAGUAGUGGCUCCCUAUGGACAUGCAGAUGACUACGGGGCCGUCG